UAUUUGUAUAUAUGGGGUGCACGGGAGGAAGAAAAUGAAGUGGGAAAAUGAAAAGUUAGAACAAUUUUAGCAUUUGACCACUCUAUGAUAUUGCAACUUGAAACAAUGGGGUACAGGAAUAAAAGACCCCAUCACCACCUAUCUAAAAGGGAAAUCUCAUUUGAAUUUCGGAAACUAAUUUCUUAUGCAAUCAAAUCCAUAUCUAAC
rnacentral:lncRNA from 1 species